AAAAUCAUAAUAUAAACGAGGUGGUACUAAUUUGGGGAUGAGAAAUCUGUGAUUAGGCCGUAGAUCCCGCACGCAUAUGGGACAGGGUCAUGUUCUCCUCCUCUUCUAGCCGCCUCUCUCUCAACACGCGAAGCCCACGCCGCCGUAUGUGGCUGCCCAGCCUCCUCCGUCCUACCUUGCUGCCGUCAGCUCUGCCCUACCCCAUCCCGCCCUCUAUCAAGGAUCUCCACCGAUUCAAGCGGGUCUCUCAGAUCCAAAACAAAAUUCGUGUGAGAGAUUUGGGGCUGAUUGAUCAAUCCUUGGUUGGGAUCUAGGCACGGCUAUGGGGAAGAUAGUGGUGGUUGUGUGCGUCGCGGUGGGACGACAAUGUUUACGCUGGUGCCAGCGGUGGAAAGGGGUGGAGCUUGUGGGCUCCACGGAGGCUGACUUGAAGACGAAGGUGGCGGCGGUGAUUAAGGAGGUGGCCCGCACGCUCCUUGAGAUCAAUUAAUCCGAUGUAAACCUUGAUGCAAAAGGAAGCUCCAUGAAGAAGAGAUUGAAAAUCCAACAUCACAACAUAUAUAAAAUUUCUUAUUUUCAUGAUUAGCAAAGUAAUUGCAGACUGCUUGUUUGUUGUCUGAUAAAACACAUCUCUGAAAAUUCAGUAGACCCUUUGAUCGAGUUUA